AGGUUAAGUUAACAAGGGCGCAUGGUGAAUGCCUUGGCACUAGGAGCCGAUGAAGGACGGGACUAACACCGAUAUGCUUCGGGGAGCUGUACGUAAGCUAUGAUCCGGAGAUUUCCGAAUGGGGCAACCCAGCAGUUUUAAUCAACUGUUACCACUAGAUGAAUUCAUAGUCUAGUUGGAGGUAAACGCUGUGAACUGAAACAUCUCAUUAGCAGCAGGAAUAUAAAGAAAUUUCGAUUCCCUAAGUAGCGGCGAGCGAACGGGGAACAGCCCAAACCAAAGUGCUUGCACUUUGGGGUUGUAGGACUGAACAUUUGAGUUACCAAAGAACUUGAUAGUCGAAGGAUUUGGGAAAAUCCGCCAUAGAUGGUGAUAGCCCAGUAGAUUAAAUCAAAUUCUCUCAGUUCAGGAUCCUGAGUACGGCGGAACACGUGAAAUUCCGUCGGAAUCCGGGAGGACCAUCUCCCAAGGCUAAAUACUACCUAGUGACCGAUAGUGAACCAGUACCGUGAGGGAAAGGUGAAAAGCACCCCGGGAGGGGAGUGAAAUAGUUCCUGAAACCAUGUGCCUACAAUAAGUCAGAGCGCGUUAAUGCGUGAUGGCGUGCCUUUUUGUAGAAUGAACCGGCGAGUUAUGAUCCCGUGCAAGGUUAAGACUAAAAAAAGUCGGAGCCGUAGCGAAAGCGAGUCUGAAAUGGGCGUUUUUGAGUACGAGGUUAUAGACCCGAAACCAGGUGACCUAUCCAUGUCCAGGUUGAAGGUGCGGUAAAAACGCACUGGAGGACCGAACCCGUGUAAGUUGAAAAAUUGCUGGGAUGAGGUGUGGAUAGCGGUGAAAUUCCAAACGAACUUGGAGAUAGCUGGUUCUCUCCGAAAUAGCUUUAGGGCUAGCCUCGGAAUUAGGAUCAUGGAGGUAGAGCACUAUUUGGACUAGGGGCCCGUCUUGGGUUACUGAAUUCAGAUAAACUCCGAAUGCCAUUGAUUCAUAUCCGGGAGUCAGACGAUGAGUGAUAAGAUCCACCGUCGAAAGGGGAACAGCCCAGACCAUCAGUUAAGGUCCCUAAAUGUAUGCUAAGUGGAAAAAGGAUGUGGAGUUGCAUAGACAACUAGGAUGUUGGCUCAGAAGCAGCCACCAUUUAAAGAGUGCGUAAUAGCUCACUAGUCGAGUGAUCCUGCGCCGAAAAUGUACCGGGGCUAAGCAUACUACCGAAACCAUGGAUGCGACCAUUAGGUCGCGUGAUAGGAGAGCGUUCUAAGGGCGGUGAAGCAAGAUCGUGAGGACUUGUGGAGCGCUUAGAAGUGAGAAUGCCGGUAUGAGUAGCGAAAGAUAGGUGAGAAUCCUAUCCACCGAAUGACUAAGGUUUCCUGGGGAAGGCUCGUCCUCCCAGGGUUAGUCGGGACCUAAGUCGAGGCCGAGAGGCGUAGACGAUGGAUAACAGGUUGAGAUUCCUGUACUAGUUAAGUGCGUUUGAGCAAUGGAGGGACGCAGGAGGCUAAGAUGUGCAUUCUGUUGGAUUAGAAUGUCCAAGCAGUAAGUCUGGUGAAGAGUCAAAUGCUUUUCACUUUAAGGACAAGCUGUGAUGGGGAGCGAAAUUUAGUAGCGAAGCGUCUGAUGUCACACUGCCGAGAAAAGCUUCUAGUGAGUACUUAACUACCCGUACCGCAAACCGACACAGGUAGUCGAGGAGAGAAUCCUAAGGUGAGCGAGUGAACUCUCGUUAAGGAACUCGGCAAAAUGACCCCGUAACUUCGGGAGAAGGGGUGCUGAUCGCAAGAUCAGCCGCAGUGAAUAGGCCCAGGCGACUGUUUAUCAAAAAAACACAGGUCUCUGCAAAAAUCGUAAGAUGACGUAUAGGGGCUGACGCCUGCCCGGUGCUGGAAGGUUAAAAGGAUGGGUUAGCUUCGGCGAAGCUCAGAAUUGAAGCCCCAGUAAACGGCGGCCGUAACUAUAACGGUCCUAAGGUAGCGAAAUUCCUUGUCGGGUAAGUUCCGACCCGCACGAAAGGCGUAACGAUCUGGGCACUGUCUCAACGAGAGACUCGGUGAAAUUAUAUUGUCCGUGAAGAUGCGGACUACCCGCGACAGGACGGAAAGACCCCAUGGAGCUUUACUGUAGCUUGAUAUUGAGUGUUUGUACAGCUUGUACAGGAUAGGUAGGAGCCAUAGAAACCGGAACGCUAGUUUCGGUGGAGGCGUUGGUGGGAUACUACCCUCGCUGUAUGACCACUCUAACCCGCACCACUAAUCGUGGUGGGAGACAGUGUCAGGUGGGCAGUUUGACUGGGGCGGUCGCCUCCUAAAGUAACGGAGGCGCCCAAAGGUUCCCUCAGAAUGGUUGGAAAUCAUUCGCAGAGUGUAAAGGCACAAGGGAGCUUGACUGCGAGACAGACAGGUCGAGCAGGGACGAAAGUCGGGCUUAGUGAUCCGGUGGUACCGUAUGGAAGGGCCAUCGCUCAACGGAUAAAAGCUACCCUGGGGAUAACAGGCUUAUCUCCCCCAAGAGUCCACAUCGACGGGGAGGUUUGGCACCUCGAUGUCGGCUCAUCGCAUCCUGGGGCUGUAGUCGGUCCCAAGGGUUGGGCUGUUCGCCCAUUAAAGCGGUACGCGAGCUGGGUUCAGAACGUCGUGAGACAGUUCGGUCCCUAUCCGUCGCGGGCGUAGGAAAUUUGAGAGGACCUGUCCUUAGUACGAGAGGACCGGGAUGGACAUACCUCUGGUGUACCAGUUGUGCCGCCAGGCGCAUCGCUGGGUAGCUACGUAUGGAUGUGAUAAACGCUGAAAGCAUCUAAGUGUGAAACACACCUCGAGAUGAGAUUUCCCAUUCCUUUAUGGAAGUAAGACCCCUGAAAGAUGAUCAGGUAGAUAGGUUAGAAGUGGCAGUGCGGUGACGCAUGAAGCGGACUAAUACUAAUCGGUCGAGGACUUAACCAAG
rnacentral:rRNA from 1 species